rnacentral:rRNA from 1 species
CCCUUAGAUGUUCUGGGCCGCACGCGCGCUACACUGAUGAAUGCAACGAGCUCUACCCUUGACCGAAAGACCCGGGUAAACUUGUGAAACUUCAUCGUGAUGGGGAUAGAUUAUUGCAAUUAUUAAUCUUCAACGAGGAAUUCCUAGUAAGCGCGAGUCAUCAGCUCGCGUUGAUUACGUCCCUGCCCUUUGUACACACCGCCCGUCGCUCCUACCGAUUGAAUGGUCCGGUGAAAUCUUCGGAUUGCUGACCAAGAUCCAGCAAUGGAGCUUGGUUGCGAGAAGUUGAUUAAACCUUAUUAUUUAGAGGAAGGAGAAGUCGUAACA